GUGCUCGCUUCAGCAUCACAUAUACUAAAAUUGGAACGAUACAGAGACGAUUACCAUGACCCCUGGUGGAGGAUCAAACGCGCGAUCAUGAAGCGUGCCGAAUUUAU
ensembl:snRNA U6 U6 spliceosomal RNA